AAAGCAUUUGCUGAAGGAGCUAGAGCAAGCUCUCCACCUCUUCCUCUGACUGUAUUAGUUGUUCAAGAUCACGUAGGGAUAUCAAAUUUUGCACAACCAGAUUGUCCACUACGGUUGCUGCCUAUUCAAAUGUCAGAUAAUGGAACACAUCAUGACCAACCCACCAAUGUCUUGACUGAAGCUUUGAUUCAUGAUCAUAUCAACAACCUUCGGUUCAGCAUAUCCCCAACAGCAUUCUUUCGGUUUAAUACCGGCGCCGCAGAGAAGUUGUAUUCACUUGCUGGAGAUUGGGCUGAUCUUUGUCUUGACACUUUACUCUUUGAUGUAUAUUGUGGAACUGGAACAAUUGGUCUUACACUGGCACAUCGUGUCCG